GAUGAACGCUGGCGGCGUGCCUAAUACAUGCAAGUCGAGCGAACGGACGAGAAGCUUGCUUCUCUGAUGUUAGCGGCGGACGGGUGAGUAACACGUGGAUAACCUACCUAUAAGACUGGGAUAACUUCGGGAAACCGUAGCUAAUACCGGAUAAUAUUUUGAACCGCAUGGUUCAAAAGUGAAAGACGGUCUUGCUGUCACUUAUAGAUGGAUCCGCGCUGCAUUAGCUAGUUGGUAAGGUAACGGCUUACCAAGGCAACGAUGCAUAGCCGACCUGAGAGGGUGAUAGGCCACACUGGAACUGAGACACGGUCCAGACUCCUACGGGAGGCAGCGGUAGGGAAUCUUCCGCAAAGGGCGAAAGCCUGACGGAGCAACGCCGCGUGAGUGAUGAAGGUCUUCGGAUCGUAAAACUCUGUUAUUAGGGAAGAACAUAUGUGUAAGUAACUGUGCACAUCUUGACGGUACCUAAUCAGAAAGCCACGGCUAACUACGUG
rnacentral:rRNA from 1 species